CGAAGAGGUCACUGGUUCGAACCCAGUAUCGCCCACACCGGCCGACGGCCCGGAGGUCCCAGACCUCCGGGC
rnacentral:tRNA from 1 species